AGAGCGAACGCUGGCGGCAGGCCUAACACAUGCAAGUCGAGCGCCCGUAGCAAUACGGGAGCGGCAGACGGGAUAGUAACACGUGGGAACGCGCCCUUCGGUUCGGAAUAACUCAGGGAAACUUGAGCUAAUACCGGAUACGCCCUUACGGGGAAAGAUUUAUUGCCGAAGGAACGGCCCGCGUCCGAUUAGCUAGUUGGUGAGGUAAUGGCUCACCAAGGCUCCGAUCGGUAGCUGGUCUGAGAGGAUGACCAGCAUCACUGGGACUGAGACACGGCCCAGACUCCUACGGGAGGCAGCAGUGGGGAAUAUUGGACAAUGGGCGCAAGCCUGAUCCAGCCAUGCCGCGUGGAUGAUGAAGGCCUUAGGGUUGUAAAGUCCUUUUAACGGGGAAGAUAAUGACGGUACCCGUAGAAUAAGCCCCGGCUAACUUCGUGCCAGCAGCCGC
rnacentral:rRNA from 1 species